ACAUAUGUAGUAGAAACUUGGAAACUACCGUUGGAUCGAGAAAUGGACGUCCGAGAUUCGUCCACGUCACCAUGAGUUAAAAUUUAACUCUAACCAAAAUUUUAACUCAUGAGUGAAUCCGUGAGUGAAUCCGCGAGUUAAAUUUUAACUCAUGGUGACGUGGACGAAUCUCGAACGUCUAUUUCUCGAUCCAACGGUAGUUUCCAAGUUUUCACUGCAU
rnacentral:pre_miRNA from 1 species